rnacentral:rRNA from 1 species
UGGGGAAUAUUGCACAAUGGGGGAAACCCUGAUGCAGCGACGCCGCGUGGAGGACGAAGGAUCUAGGUCUGUAAACUCCUUUUUCACGGAAAGACUUAGGACGGUACCGUGAGAAUAAGCCCCGGCUAACUACGUGCCAGCAGCCGCGGUAAGACGUAGGGGGCGAGCGUUGUCCGGAUUUACUGGGCGUAAAGAGCGCGUAGGCGGCUCGUUAAGUGUGAAGUGAAAUCUCCAGGGCUCAACCCGGAAACUGCUUCGCAUACUGGCGAGCUUGAGGAAUGCAGAGGUAAGUAGAAUUCCUGGUGUAGCGGUGAAAUGCGUAGAUAUCAGGAGGAAUACCGACGGCGAAGGCAGCUUACUGGGCAUUAUCUGACGCUGAGGCGCGAAAGCGUGGGUAGCAAACAGGAUUAGAUACCCCGGUAGUCCCUGAGCGGGCUGGCAAGGCGCAU